AUGGAGGGCAGGGCCCCGGGGGCUCUAACCAGGUGGUCCCCCAGCACUGACCCCCAGCUGUGUCUGGAGCGACAGCUGCAGAGGCAGACCCCGGGAGGCACAGAGCCACGCCCGGCCGUGGGUCUUCACACCCUCUGGGAGCACAGGGUCUCUGGGCUCAGCGGUGCCCAGGCCUGCACAGCGGCCUCCGUCACGGCCCCCACCGUCUACCCUCUGGGUUCCAGCUGUGCGGGCACGUCCGGCUCCGCGGUGACCGUGGGCUGCCUGGUCUCCAACUACGUCCCGGAGCCCGUGACCGUGACCUGGAACUCGGGUGCCCUGUCCAGCGGCGUGCACACCUUCCCGUCCGUCCGGCACUCCUCGGGGCUCUACUCCCUCAGCAGCACUGUGACCGUGCCCGCCGGCACCUCGGCCGACAAGACCUUCACCUGCAAUGUAGCCCACCCUGCCAGCAGCACCAAGGUGGACCAGAAAGUCGUGAUUGGCAACGGAUGCCCUAAGUGUCCCAGCUGUCCCAGCUGUCCCAGCUGUCCCAGCUGUCCCAAAUGCCCAGCCUGUGAGACCCUGGGAGGACCAUCCGUCUUCAUCUUCCCCCCGAAACCCAAAGACACCCUCACAAUCUCCCGAACGCCUGAGGCCACAUGCUUGGUGGUGGACGUGAGCCAGGAGGACCCCGAUGUUGAAUUCUCCUGGUACGUGGGUGAGGUGGAGGUGCACACGGCCAAGAUGCAGCCAAGGGAGGAGCAGUUCAACAGCACCUACCGUGUGGUCAGCGCCCUGCCCAUCCAGCACCAGGACUGGCUUCAGGGAAAGGAGUUCAAGUGCAAGGUCAACAACAAAGCCCUCCCGGUCCCCAUCGUGAGGACCAUCUCCAAGGCCAAAGGGCAGCCCCGGGAGCCACAGGUGUACGUUCUGGCCUCACCCAGGGAAGAGCUGGCCGAGAGCACAGUCAGCUUAACCUGCAUGGUCACCGGCUUCUAUCCGAGUGACAUCAACGUGGAGUGGCAGAGGAAAGGACAGCCUGUGUCAGAGGACAAUUACGGCACGACCCCACCCCAGCUGGACACCGACGGCUCCUUCUUCCUGUACAGCAGGCUCAGGGUGGACAGGAGCAGCUGGCAGCAGGGAGACACCUACACGUGUGUCGUGAUGCACGAGGGUCUACACAAUCACCUCACACAGAAGGCGAUCUCCAAGUCUCCGGAACUGCUCCUGGAGGAGGAGAGCUGUGCCGACGCCCAGGACGGGGAGCUGGACGGGCUGUGGACCACCAUCUCCAUCUUCAUCACACUCUUCCUGCUCAGCGUGUGCUACAGCGCCACCGUGACCCUCUUCAAGGUGAAGUGGAUCUUCUGGUCGGUGGUGGGGCUGAAGCACACGGUCAUCCCCGACUACAGAAACGUGAUCGGGCAGGGAACCUAG